rnacentral:rRNA from 1 species
GAUGAACGCUGGCGGCGUGCUUAACACAUGCAAGUCGAACGAGAAGUGAAGACGGAAACCUUCGGGCGGAAGGCUUUAUUUCGAGUGUCGGACGGGUGAGUAACGCGUGGGUAACCUGCCUCAUACAGGGGGAUAACAGUUGGAAACGACUGUUAAUACCGCAUAAGACCACAGCACCGCAUGGUGCGGGGGUAAAAACUCCGGUGGUAUGAGAUGGACCCGCGUUCGAUUAGCCAGUUGGCGGGGUAACGGCCCACCAAAGCGACGAUCGAUAGCCGAUCUGAGAGGAUGACCGGCCACAUUGGGACUGAGACACGGCCCAAACUCCUACGGGAGGCAGCAGUGGGGAAUAUUGCACAAUGGGGGAAACCCUGAUGCAGCGACGCCGCGUGAGUGAAGAAGUAUUUCGGUAUGUAAAGCUCUAUCAGCGGGGAAGAAAAUGACGGUACCUGAGUAAGAAGCCCCGGCUAACUACGUG